UUAAGUUAGAAAGGGCGCACGGUGGAUGCCUUGACACUAGGAGUCGAUGAAGGACGGGACUAACGCCGAUAUGCUUCGGGGAGCUGUAAGUAAGCUUUGAUCCGAAGAUUUCCGAAUGGGGAAACCCACCAUACGUAAUGGUAUGGUAUCCUUAUCUGAAUACAUAGGGUAAGGAAGACAGACCCAGGGAACUGAAACAUCUAAGUACCUGGAGGAAGAGAAAGCAAAUGCGAUUUCCUGAGUAGCGGCGAGCGAAACGGAACAUAGCCCAAACCAAGAGGCUUGCCUCUUGGGGUUGUAGGACAUUCUAUACGGAGUUACAAAGGAACGAGGUAGACGAAGCGACCUGGAAAGGUCCGUCGUAGAGGGUAACAACCCCGUAGUCGAAACUUCGUUCUCUCUUGAAUGUAUCCUGAGUACGGCGGAACACGUGAAAUUCCGUCGGAAUCUGGGAGGACCAUCUCCCAAGGCUAAAUACUCCCUAGUGAUCGAUAGUGAACCAGUACCGUGAGGGAAAGGUGAAAAGCACCCCGGAAGGGGAGUGAAAGAGAUCCUGAAACCGUGUGCCUACAAAUAGUCAGAGCCCGUUAACGGGUGAUGGCGUGCCUUUUGUAGAAUGAACCGGCGAGUUACGAUCCCGUGCGAGGUUAAGCUGAAGAGGCGGAGCCGCAGCGAAAGCGAGUCUGAAUAGGGCGUUUAGUACGUGGUCGUAGACCCGAAACCAGGUGAUCUACCCAUGUCCAGGGUGAAGUUCAGGUAACACUGAAUGGAGGCCCGAACCCACGCACGUUGAAAAGUGCGGGGAUGAGGUGUGGGUAGCGGAGAAAUUCCAAUCGAACCUGGAGAUAGCUGGUUCUCCCCGAAAUAGCUUUAGGGCUAGCCUUAAGUGUAAGAGUCUUGGAGGUAGAGCACUGAUUGGACUAGGGGUCCUCAUCGGAUUACCGAAUUCAGUCAAACUCCGAAUGCCAAUGACUUAUCCUUAGGAGUCAGACUGCGAGUGAUAAGAUCCGUAGUCAAAAGGGAAACAGCCCAGACCGCCAGUUAAGGUCCCAAAGUGUGUAUUAAGUGGAAAAGGAUGUGGAGUUGCUUAGACAACUAGGAUGUUGGCUUAGAAGCAGCCACCAUUUAAAGAGUGCGUAAUAGCUCACUAGUCGAGUGACUCUGCGCCGAAAAUGUACCGGGGCUAAAUACACCACCGAAGCUGCGGAUUGAUACCAAUGGUAUCAGUGGUAGGGGAGCGUUCUAAGGACAGUGAAGUCAGACCGGAAGGACUGGUGGAGUGCUUAGAAGUGAGAAUGCCGGUAUGAGUAGCGAAAGACGGGUGAGAAUCCCGUCCACCGAAUGCCUAAGGUUUCCUGAGGAAGGCUCGUCCGCUCAGGGUUAGUCAGGACCUAAGCCGAGGCCGACAGGCGUAGGCGAUGGACAACAGGUUGAUAUUCCUGUACCACCUCUUUAUCGUUUGAGCAAUGGAGGGACGCAGAAGGAUAGAAGAAGCGUGCGAUUGGUUGUGCACGUCCAAGCAGUUAGGCUGAUAAGUAGGCAAAUCCGCUUAUCGUAAAGGCUGAGCUGUGAUGGGGAAGCUCCUUAUGGAGCGAAGUCUUUGAUUCCCCGCUGCCAAGAAAAGCUUCUAGCGAGAUAAAAGGUGCCUGUACCGCAAACCGACACAGGUAGGCGAGGAGAGAAUCCUAAGGUGUGCGAGAGAACUCUGGUUAAGGAACUCGGCAAAAUGACCCCGUAACUUCGGGAGAAGGGGUGCUUUCUUAACGGAAAGCCGCAGUGAAUAGGCCCAAGCGACUGUUUAGCAAAAACACAGCUCUCUGCGAAGCCGUAAGGCGAAGUAUAGGGGGUGACACCUGCCCGGUGCUGGAAGGUUAAGGAGAGGGGUUAGCGUAAGCGAAGCUCUGAACUGAAGCCCCAGUAAACGGCGGCCGUAACUAUAACGGUCCUAAGGUAGCGAAAUUCCUUGUCGGGUAAGUUCCGACCCGCACGAAAGGUGUAACGAUUUGGGCACUGUCUCAACCAGAGACUCGGUGAAAUUAUAGUACCUGUGAAGAUGCAGGUUACCCGCGACAGGACGGAAAGACCCCGUGGAGCUUUACUGUAGCCUGAUAUUGAAUUUUGGUACAGUUUGUACAGGAUAGGCGGGAGCCAUUGAAACCGGAGCGCUAGCUUCGGUGGAGGCGCUGGUGGGAUACCGCCCUGACUGUAUUGAAAUUCUAACCUACGGGUCUUAUCGACCCGGGAGACAGUGUCAGGUGGGCAGUUUGACUGGGGCGGUCGCCUCCUAAAGUGUAACGGAGGCGCCCAAAGGUUCCCUCAGAAUGGUUGGAAAUCAUUCGUAGAGUGCAAAGGCAUAAGGGAGCUUGACUGCGAGACCUACAAGUCGAGCAGGGACGAAAGUCGGGCUUAGUGAUCCGGUGGUUCCGCAUGGAAGGGCCAUCGCUCAACGGAUAAAAGCUACCCCGGGGAUAACAGGCUUAUCUCCCCCAAGAGUCCACAUCGACGGGGAGGUUUGGCACCUCGAUGUCGGCUCAUCGCAUCCUGGGGCUGUAGUCGGUCCCAAGGGUUGGGCUGUUCGCCCAUUAAAGCGGUACGCGAGCUGGGUUCAGAACGUCGUGAGACAGUUCGGUCCCUAUCCGUCGUGGGCGUAGGAAAUUUGAGAGGAGCUGUCCUUAGUACGAGAGGACCGGGAUGGACGCACCGCUGGUGUACCAGUUGUUCUGCCAAGGGCAUAGCUGGGUAGCUAUGUGCGGAAGGGAUAAGUGCUGAAAGCAUCUAAGCAUGAAGCCCCCCUCAAGAUGAGAUUUCCCAUAGCGUAAGCUAGUAAGAUCCCUGAAAGAUGAUCAGGUUGAUAGGUUCGAGGUGGAAGCAUGGUGACAUGUGGAGCUGACGAAUACUAAUAGAUCGAGGACUUAACC
rnacentral:rRNA from 1 species